UACGUAGGGGGCGAGCGUUGCCCGAAUUUACUGGGCGUAAAGCGCACGUAGGCGGCUCCGUAAGUCUGGUGUGAAAUCUCACGGCUCAACCGAGAGGCUGCACCAGAUACUGCGGGGCUCGAGGACGGGAGAGGAGAUUGGAAUUCCCGGUGUAGCAGUGAAAUGCAUUGAUAUCGGGAAGAACACCAGUGGCGAAGGCGGAUCUCUGGCCCGUUUCUGACGCUGAGGUGCGAAAGCUGGGGGUGAGAAAGGG
rnacentral:rRNA from 1 species